rnacentral:lncRNA from 1 species
AUGAUUUGAAAUAUUAUAAUUAUAUAAGAUGGUAAUAGAAUAAUCCCACAUUGUAAAAAUGUAGAAGUGAGAUGGCAACAAUUUCCUAUAUAAAAAGAGAGGAACAGGCAUUCCCAUAGUUCAAAUUUUUGGAAGGACAUCCAUGGUUCCUUUAAACAUGGCAAUUGUUUUCCCAUCGAUAUGAACAAUUUCUGGAAGGGCUUCCUAAAAUCAAGGGUAAAGUCUUAAAAAAACAUAAAUUAAAAAUUUUGAAUUUCAUUUCUUCCCAUAUAUUAACAGUGCCAACAUGAUAUAGAUAUUCAGGUACGACCCUUGAAUGCGCAAUUGUACGUCAUCAAGUCAUGACCAGUAAUAUUUAAUCCAAUGUCUAAAAUAAUAUAAUGCACAGGACACUAACAUAUGUACGACAUAAAAUAAUAUACUGCAUAAGAUACUAACACAUGUACGACGCAAAAUCGAUC